rnacentral:misc_RNA from 1 species
UCUCCGUAGGUGAACCUGCGGAGGGAUCAUUACAGAGUUCAUGCCCUAUCGGGUCGAUCUCCCACCCUAUGUUAUUAUUACUUUGUUGCUUUGGCGGGCCGUUAGGCUCCGGCCCGACUACCGGCCCCGGCUGGUAAGCGCCCGCCAGAGGACCCAAAACCCUGAAUAUUAGUGUCGUCUGAGUACUAUAUAAUAGUUAAAACCUUCAACAACGGAUCUCUUGGUUCUG